rnacentral:rRNA from 1 species
CAGCCGCCGCGGUAAUACCGGCGGCCCGAGUGGCGGCCACUAUUAUUGGGCUUAAAGCGUCCGUAGCCGGGUUGGGAAGUCCUCCGGGAAAUCUGGCCGCUUAACGGUCAGAAUGCCGGAGGAUACUCCCAGCCUAGGGAGCGGGAGAGGCCGAGGGUAUUCCCGGAGUAGGGGUGAAAUCCUAUAAUCCCGGGAGGACCACCUGUGGCGAAGGCGCUCGGCUGGAACGCGUCCGACGGGGAGGGACGAAGGCCAGGGGAGCAAACCGGAUUAGAUACCCGGGUAGUCCUGGCUGUAAACGAUGCGGACUUUGUGUCGGACAAGCUAUGAGCUUGUCCGGUGCCGGAGGGAAACCGUUAAGUCCGCCGCCUGGGGAGUACGGCCGCAAGGCUGAAACUUAAAGGAAUUGGCGGG